rnacentral:rRNA from 1 species
CCUACGUGUGGCAGCAGUGAGGAAUAUUGGUCAAUGGGCUUACGCCUGAACCAGCCAAGUCGCGUGAGGGAAGACUGCCCUAUGGUUUGUAAACCUCUUUUGUCAGGGAGCGAAUGACGCUACGUGUAGCGUUCUCGAGAGUACCUGAAGAAAAAGCACCGGCUAACUCCGUCCCAGCAGCCGCGGUAAUACGGAGGAUGCGAGCGUUAUCCGGAUUCAUGGGGGUUAAAGGGUGCAUAUGCGGAAUGCCAAGUCAGCGGUAAAAUCGCGGGGCUCAACCUCGGUCCGACGUGGAGACUGGCGUGGUUGAGUGGGCGAGAGGUAUGCGGAAUGCGUGGUGUAGCGGUGAAAUGCAUAGAUAUCACGCAGAACUCCGAUUGCGAAGGCAGCAUACCGGCGCCCAACUGACGCUGAAGCACGAAAGCGUGGGUAUCGAACAGGAUUAGAUACCCGAGUAGUC